GGCGGACGGGUGAGUAACACGUGGGAACGUGCCCUUCGGUUCGGGAUAACUCAGGGAAACUUGAGCUAACACCGGAUACGCCCCUCGGGGGAAAGGUUACGCCGAAGGAGCGGCCCGCGUCUGAUUAGCUAGUUGGUGAGGUAAAGGCUCACCAAGGCUACGAUCAGUAGCUGGUCUGAGAGGAUGAUCAGCCACACUGGGACUGAGACACGGCCCAGACUCCUACGGGAGGCAGCAGUGGGGAAUCUUGCGCAAUGGGCGAAAGCCUGACGCAGCCAUGCCGCGUGGGGGAUGACGGCUUCGGGUUGUAAACCUCUUUCGACUUCGACGAAGCCUUCGGGUGACGGUAGGGGUGGAAGAAGCACCGGCCAACUACGUGCCAGCAGCCGCGG
rnacentral:rRNA from 1 species